CUUCACAAUGAGAAGAAGCAACAAGAAGCAAGCUAACUCUCCCGUCUCGUUCAUUUAUCCUGUUUUUACAGGUCRGUCCCUAAUCGCUGGUAACCGGGCUGGUCGUAGGACAGCUCCAUUGCAUUAAAUGAGGAUCGCCCUGGCAGUGAAGAUGAAUGGUCUCAUUAGGGAGAGAUCGCUCAUGCCUGAGCAUGACAUCCUGUUUCCACUCAGAAACCCUACCAACGAUGGUGACCUCAAACAUCUGCUGCUGAAAUGGGUCAUCAUUGUUUCCCGACAAUACUCCCUAUGACAACUACAUAAAAACACAACUGGUGUAAUGUUUGCUUUGUUUUUUUUAUACAACACUUGUGUCAACAUGAUAGGAAUCACAGACAGAGAGAUGUGAAAUAUCUGAGCCUGGCUACCCAUUGGCCCUCCAAAAACGGGCUGCAUCUCAAACGGCACCAUAUUCCCUAUAUAGUACUGAACUACUUUUGACCAAAGACCUUUGGGCUAACUACUGCUGGUCACAUCUUAAAACUCCCUAUCCACCAGACCUUGUCCCAAACAACAAACCAGGUUGUAGCUGUAGUUUCACUUCUAAAUUAUCACUAACCUCGAGCCUCAGACAUGCCAUCCUCUUACACACACUCAGAUUGGGACGGGACUAAUGGACGUUUUUAUCAGCCCACUCCUCAGAGCCUGACUCAGGCACUUAAUCCUCGUUUAACAAGCAAUUAGCGGUGAGCUCAUGUCAACUACAGAUGUUUGCUCUCCUGUAGCCCCUGAUAACACCAGGGUCUUUCUCUGGCGGGUCGGGGCAGGGGCUGGAGAGGAGCGGRAGAGCCUGAUAAGGCAGAGGAGAGCACAGCCUAACCUUGUGUCCUACACACAUACACACGUCACACACUAAUCUCUACGGUUGUGCCCCAAAUGGCACCCUAUUCCCUAUGCAGUAUACUACUUUUAACCCGGGGCCCAUUAAAACUAGUACACUACAUAGGCAAUAGGGUUCCAUUUGGGAUGUAGACUAAGUUUCUAGAGUGGGCAUUCCACAGCAGACUCUGUAAUAAAUAAAAAAGCACCAUUGUUGCUUUUCUAAACAUAUGGGAGUAAACAGUGUUGCUUCACUCUGUCUUUAGGGUAAGUGGAUGAAUCCUUGAGUCUGGGUCAGACAGGGCACCAGAUGACAGGGAAGCCUUAUGUAGAUGAUUGUCGAAGACUUGGCAAAAAGACUCAGAGAUCAAACCCCUCUGAACCCCUUACUUUAAACUGAAUGAUGAUGUGUGUGAUUGAUGUGGCACCUCCACUUGGCACCCCAGGAGGUUAUCUGCUACACACACUGUCUCACAGCGAAGGAAUUUUACCUCAAUUGUCUCUCUAACCCAAUCAUCUACCCUUAUUUAUUCAUUCGGACGACAACUGUCUGUCUUGCAGCAGCCUAUUCAAAAAAGAUCGAAGAGGUGCAUAGCAUUUGCAGCCUAAUGCAUAGCAGGGCUUGUGAAUGUCUUGACACACCAGUACAUAGAAUAUACAGUGCUAAAAAGGUAUGCAUAGUUAGCAGACUGAUUCAGUUGACUUUCUUCUGCUAUCGCCUACAUAAACUACAUUUUUUCCUGGCAAUUACUCACUUCCUCUAAUUCGAGUUAGCUACCAUGGUGCGAUUUUGUUCAACAUUGAAAACAUUGAACUUCUAAUCCUUUGUCAGGUGCCCAGGCUGCAGCUCUGGGCCACUUGGUUAGUUUUGUUCUGCUUCCCUGGUGCAUGAAGAACCUCCGUAGUGUUGUGUUACAAUUAAUGUCUUGUUUCUGUUAGGGGGCAGGAAACCGAGUCAAAGUUUGCUUACCCAAAACCUUUCCUGUGUGAAUUGGCCACUUGUUUCAGGUUGCUGGUUGCUUACCCCCCAGCCACUGAAUGUCCAACUGGCCCCAAAUAGGGAAGUUUUAUGCAGGUGACCUUUAACCUUCACCAUUGUGUCCCAAAUUGCAUCCUAUUCCCUAUAUUUAGGGCGCAAUAAUCCCUAUGUAAUCCACUGUAAAAGGCAAUAGGGUGCCAUUUGUGAUGUGGACUCCCUAUUUACGUCUCGGAAAAUAGUGGAAUUAUGACACUUAACACUGUCUGUCUCCUGCAGAUGUCUGGGGUAGUUUGGCUAUAACUGGGAGCUAUUGAGACCACAGGUCAAUCCCUGGGCUGGCAGCCCUUUUCUAUGGUUUAAUAGUAGUAGUGGCACACAUUGGAACACAUUCACAUUGACAUCUCAUGAAAAUGUAAUAACUGGAUUUUAAAUAGCUUGUAAAACAUAUGUUACUUAACCAUUAUCAGCAUCUUGACAGCAUGAAUAAUGCUAUUGUAAUUCCCUUGCAUUGCUUUUGUUACUUCAUGUUUUGGUUACACUGGGAUUGGAAAUAAUGUUUUUGUUGUUACAGUCUAUCGACAGCCCUCAAUAGAUUACAACUCGGACUAAAGCAGAAUAUAUAGCCUGGUCCCAGAUAUGUUUGUGCUGUUUGGCAUAACAAUGACCAUAAGAGUUGACUAUUCAGCACAAACAGAUCUGGGACCAGGCUAAGCAGGGUCCGUAGUGGAUGAAGAGUCAUGCUGUUCUGUCCUGUUCCUCCAUUUCAGUACAAAACUCACAGAUAGACAGUAACUCUGAUAGUAACUGGACGUACAAGGAGACAGUGGGUUGACACUGAAAACACAGGGUUUUAUUUGGAACUAAUGACACGGUGCAGUGUAGGGCUGCUCCUGGUAAAUCAUUUAUAACUGGCAUGUGCAUUAUUAAAACUGCUUUCAUAUAAAUUCUACACACAUGGUGGUGAUAUGUGAAGC